CAUUGGUUUCCUCGCAGUGAAUUAUUACGCACCGUGUCAGGUCCGGAAGGAAGCAGCACACGUAUUAGGUUUGCGUGCAGAGGGUGAGCUGGUGUGG
rfam:Wohlfahrtiimonas chitiniclastica SH04 genomic scaffold scaffold_00001, whole genome shotgun sequence.